rnacentral:rRNA from 1 species
AAUCAACGCUGGCGGCGCGCUUAACACAUGCAAGUCGAGCGAGAAAGGGGAGCAAUCCCUGAGUACAGCGGCGUACGGGUGAGUAACACGUGGGUAAUCUACCUUUUAGUGGGGAAUAACCCUGGGAAACCGGGGCUAAUACCGCAUAAUCCUGUGAAGGGAAAGCAGCAAUGCGCUGAAUGAGGAGCCCGCGGCCGAUUAGCUAGUUGGUGAGGUAACGGCCCACCAAGGCGANGAUCGGUAGCCGGCCUGAGAGGGGCACACGGCCACACUGGCACUGAAACACGGGCCAGACUCCUACGGGAGGCAGCAGUGGGGAAUCUUGCACAAUGGAGGCAACUCUGAUGCAGCGACGCCGCGUGAGCGAUGAAGCCCCUCGGGGGUGUAAAGCUCUUUCGGCAGGGACGAUAAUGACGGUACCUGAAGAAGAAGCUGCGGC